rnacentral:RNase_P_RNA from 1 species
AGAGUGGAUUAAACAAUCGCUGGCAGGUAACUGCUGGAGGAAAGUCCGGGCUCCAUAGGGCAGGAUGCUAGGUAACGCCUAGGCAGCGCGAGCUGACGGAAAGUGCAACAGAGAGCUGAACCGCCAAAGUAACGCAAGUUACUGGUAAGGGUGAAAAGGUGCGGUAAGAGCGCACCGCAGGACUGGUAACAGGACUGGCAGGGUAAACCCCAUCCGGAGCAAGACCAAAUAGGGGAACCAUUCAUGCUUGCAUGAAUAGAGAUGGCCCAUCUCGUUCCCGGGUAGGUUGCUACAGGUGUUGAGCGAUCAACAUCGCAGACGAAUGAUUGUUCACGACAGAACCCGGCUUAUCGAUCCACUCAAUUU